rnacentral:siRNA from 1 species
AGCGUUUGCAGUUGGUAACGGUUG